CUGAGAUGUUUCGUCUUGACAUGCGGGCUCCAUGUGAACAAAAUUCUGAACACAGUAAAAGGUUAUCUGCUUAACUUAAGUCGUCCAAAACCGUACAUUGUGUUUUCCGAGAACCAACCAUCUUCUACUUACCUUCAAAAGAUUUGGGGUUUUUAAUGUUGACGAGUUGCAUCCGUCAUCUAGUUAGACAUCACAUACAACUUCGAAAUUAUCAUAGGGCCAUGUCCAAUCUAACGCUGUGCUCUGUGAUUGAGGAGCUUAAUCGACUAGCCCCCUUGUCGUUAGCAGAACCAUGGGAUAACGUUGGACUUUUAGUUGAGCCUUCCGGUUCAAAAAUUGUUAAGAAGAUAUUACUCACCAAUGACUUGACAACCAGUGUAAUGCAAGAAGCUGAGGAUUCUUCAGUUGACCUGAUCUACUCUUACCAUCCUCCUAUCUUCGCACCUUUGAAGCGCAUCUCAGCCGCAAACUGGAAGGAGAACAUUAUAGCUAAAUGCUUGGAGAAUAAAAUAGCAGUUUUCUCGCCUCACACUGCAUUAGACGCUCUAAAAGGUGGUGUCAAUGAUUGGUUGGCUGAAGCGUUUGGCUCCCAUGUUGCCUCGUGCGAACCGUUAACGACAUCGUAUGCUGCGUUUCCUCGUCGAAACUGCACGCAUAUGGUAGAAAUUCCCGUGCCUUUCAACCCAGAAGGGAAAAAAUUGGUUCGAUCAAUCCUGGAGUUAGUUGCGUCCGUUCCAGAAGCUCGUCUGGAAGAACACAUUUCUACUGCUGAUGGCUAUGAGCAAAUGACCGUUAUGGCCCCGGAAAAAGCUUUGCCUUCCAUUAUCGAGUUGGUUAACCAGUGCUCAUUUGCAAACGCAUCUCGCUAUGUUCGUAUCAUCCGUGUUGAGAAGCCUCCAAUUCCUGGUCACGGAAUGGGGCGAUUGAUUCGCCUAAAAGAGCCAGUGACAGUUACCCAUGCCAUAGAAUUGGUAAAGAGCCAUCUGAAGCUGCAGCAUGUACGUCUAGCAAUCGCACAUAAUGCUAAGGAUGUGCAUACGAUCGCGUUGUGUGCUGGUUCAGGUGCUUCAAUAUUAAAGAACGUCAAAGCAGACGUUUUCUUAACUGGAGAGAUGUCUCAUCACGAAGUACUCGAUGCCGUUCAGCGCGGAACUAGCGUCAUCCUAUGUGAGCACUCGAAUACCGAGCGUGGAUUUCUUACUAAGUGGAAAGAUGUUCUUACAUCAGCGCUUGGAGAAAGUAUCGAGAUAAUCGUGUCGGUUAAUGAUCUGGAUCCACUUCAAGUUGUUUAACGGCACCUCAAGUAACCGAAAGUUUCAAUUUCAAGAUUCUUCAUGGGUCCUUCUCCUGGGUACAACGUGAAACAUUUGAGAUGAUCUUGGCAUCGUACUUCCAAUAAAGAAAGUGCAUCAUGAAUGCCAAUGAUAUUUAAGUUUUGCCCAAAUGCCCAGGCACAUUGAGAUAACUCUUUUCUCCUGUAAUCCUUCUGGCCUAGACUUGAUGGCUCUAUAUACUGAAGUGAUAACAA